rnacentral:rRNA from 1 species
UGCGCAGGCGGGGAUGUAAGUCAGUGGUGAAAAGCUGCCGCUUAACGGCAGUCUUGCCAUUGAUACUGCAUUUCUUGAGUGUGGAUGAGGUAGGCGGAAUGUGCAGUGUAGCGGUGAAAUGCAUAGAGAUUGCACAGAACACCGAUUGCGAAGGCAGCUUACUAAUCCAUAACUGACGCUGAGGCACGAAAGCGUGGGGAGCGAACAGGAUUAGAUACCCUGGUAGUCC